CCUUCGGGAUUAGUGGCGGACGGGUGAGUAACACGUGGGAACGUGCCCUUUGGUUCGGAACAACUCAGGGAAACUUGAGCUAAUACCGGAUGUGCCCUUCGGGGGAAAGAUUUAUCGCCAUUGGAGCGGCCCGCGUCUGAUUAGCUAGUUGGUGAGGUAAAGGCUCACCAAGGCGACGAUCAGUAGCUGGUCUGAGAGGAUGAUCAGCCACAUUGGGACUGAGACACGGCCCAAACUCCUACGGGAGGCAGCAGUGGGGAAUCUUGCGCAAUGGGCGAAAGCCUGACGCAGCCAUGCCGCGUGAAUGAUGAAGGUCUUAGGAUUGUAAAAUUCUUUCACCGGGGACGAUAAUGACGGUACCCGGAGAAGAAGCCCCGGCUAACUUCGUGCCAGCAGCCGCGGUAAUACGAAGGGGGCUAGCGUUGCUCGGAAUUACUGGGCGUAAAGGGAGCGUAGGCGGACUGUUUAGUCAGAGGUGAAAGCCCAGGGCUCAACCUUGGAAUUGCCUUUGAUACUGGCAGUCUUGAGUACGGAAGAGGUAUGUGGAACUCCGAGUGUAGAGGUGAAAUUCGUAG
rnacentral:rRNA from 1 species